rnacentral:rRNA from 1 species
UACAGAGGGGGCAAGCGUUGUUCGGAAUUACUGGGCGUAAAGGGCGCGUAGGCGGCCUUCUAAGUCGAACGUGAAAUCCCCGGGCUCAACCCGGGAACUGCGUCCGAUACUGGAAGGCUUGAAUCCGGGAGAGGGAUGCGGAAUUCCAGGUGUAGCGGUGAAAUGCGCAGAUAUCGGGAAGAACACCCGUGGCGAAGGCGGUUCUCUGGGACGGUACUGACGCUGAGACGCGAAAGCGUGGGGAGCGAACAGG